rnacentral:rRNA from 1 species
GACGAACGCUGGCGGCGUGCUUAACACAUGCAAGUCGAACGCUGAAGACCUGGCUUUUGUUGGGUUGGAUGAGUGGCGAACGGGUGAGUAACACGUGAGUAACCUGCCCUCUUCUUUGGGAUAACGCCCGGAAACGGGUGCUAAUACUGGAUAUUCACUGAUCUUCUCAUGGGGGUUGGUGGAAAGGUUUGUUCUGGUGGGGGAUGGGCUCGCGGCCUAUCAGCUUGUUGGUGGGGUGAUGGCCUACCAAGGCUUUGACGGGUAGCCGGCCUGAGAGGGUGACCGGUCACAUUGGGACUGAGAUACGGCCCAGACUCCUACGGGAGGCAGCAGUGGGGAAUAUUGCACAAUGGGCGAAAGCCUGAUGCAGCGACGCCGCGUGAGGGAUGGAGGCCUUCGGGUUGUAAACCUCUUUCGCUAAUGGUCAAGCCGCAACUGUGGGUUGUGGUGAGGGUAGUGGGUAAAGAAGCGCCGGCUAACUACGUG